rnacentral:rRNA from 1 species
GAUGAACGCUAGCUACAGGCUUAACACAUGCAAGUCGAGGGGUAGCACGGAAGAAGCUUGCUUCUUUGGGUGACGACCGGCGCACGGGUGAGUAACGCGUAUCCGACCUACCCAUUACUCGGGCACAGCCGCUCGAAAGAGUGAUUGAUUCCCGAUAUGUCAACAGAGUAGAUCUGUUGAUGAAAGAUUUAUCGGUAAUGGAUGGGGAUGCGUAAGAUUAGGUAGUAGGCGGGGUAACGGCCCACCUAACCGACGAUCUUUAGGGGUUCUGAGAGGAAGGUCCCCCACACUGGUACUGAGACACGGACCAGACUCCUACGGGAGGCAGCAGUGAGGAAUAUUGGUCAAUGGGCGGAAGCCUGAACCAGCCAAGUAGCGUGAAGGAUUACAGCCCUACGGGUUUUAAACUUCUUUUAUAUAAGAGUAAUGUGCACUACGUGUAGUGUAUUGCAAGUAUUAUAUGAAUAAGCAUCGGCUAACUCCGUGCCAGCAGCCGCAGUAAGAC